UACGUAGGGGGCUAGCGUUGUUCGGAAUCACUGGGCGUAAAGGGAGUGUAGGCGGGAAUGUAAGUCAGGAGUGUAAUCUACGGGCUUAACCCGUAGUUUGCUCUUGAGACUGCAUUUCUUGAGUAGUGGAGAGGGAGGUGGAAUUCCAGGUGUAGCGGUGGAAUGCGUAGAUAUCUGGAAGAACACCAGUAGCGAAGGCGGCCUCCUGGCCACAUACUGACGCUGAGGCUCGAAAGCGUGGGGAG
rnacentral:rRNA from 1 species